GGAGUGAAAGGGCUUCAUCCCCCCCCUCGCUGGGCCUGGGGAAGCAACAGGUGGGGGGGGCUGAGCUGUCUGGAAGCAGCCCCACAAGCGGCAGCCUGGGGCCGCGUGGCCUUCAACCUCCCCCAACGUGCCCCCGUGUCAUCCCCCCCAUUCGCUGUGACUCUUCUGCCAGCACAGCCCCCUCCUCUCCCUCUGUAGGGCCACAGCAGCCUCUUCAAGUCCCCACAACACCCUCCAGUGUCCCCUCAUCUGUUGUGACCCUCUCACUAGCCCCACCCCCAUCUGUGGGGAUCCCUCAGCCCCCAGCAUCCCCUCCCACAUAGUGUACACUCUAUCUGGCCUUUCCCUUCACCCCCAACCUCCUCCUCCCCCCCGUCCUCAGCACCCCAACACCGACCUCCUCUUGCCCCAUCUCCCACAUCCUCCUUCCCGUCCUCAGCACCCUGCCCCGCCUUCCUCCUCCUCCCCCCCAUCCCCGUCCUCAGCGCCCCACCGCUAAUUGCCUCCAACCCAUUUCUCAUUGCUGGGCCCCACUUUCCCAUCCUCCCACUCCCCCAGUCCAUCCCCAGGGUGUGAGGUUCCUCAUCUUCAAUCUCUGCUACACCCAAACCUGCCAGGUUCCCCUUUUCAACCACUGUGGGGUCGUCCAACCCGCCGACACCCAUCCACUCUGGGCUCUCUAAAUCUCACAUUCUCACAAUGCUCCUUGGUAACGCCACUCUCCUCUCUCCCUAAUCCCCCUAUUCCCUUCCCUUAGGUCCUCCUGGACACCCCAACCCACAGUCAGGCCCCCACAUACAUCCCAGUCAUUCACAUGCUGAGCUAGUUCUUCAGGGACCCCCACAGCCCACCAAACUUCUCCUUCCAUGAGCCCCAUAGACCUGUGGCCAGGAAGGGUGAGGUGUGGUUUUGGCCAAAGAUGAGGUGUUUUGGUAGCCCUGUGGAUGCUGUGUGGUGUCUGGAAUGGGGCGUGUGUGUUCCCAUCAUGCCCCUUCCCCUCUGCCUGCAGAGCUGAGGACAGACAAGUCUGAGGAGCAGAGCAGGAGCUCUGGGAAGGAGAAGAGCAAUAUGAAGAUGGAGUGUAAGAUGAGGCCAGCAAGGGAAAAGAAGUCACGGGGACGGAGUCCAGCCCUGAGGUGAGAUGGAAAGUGAUCGAGAGCAGUGACAGCAUUGUUGAGGGGUGCAGGGCUCCAGGUAACUGGCAAUAUGGCGUGGGGUCAGAAGUUUACAUUCUCAGGCCUACGACUGCCUUUCGAGCUAAACAAUAUGUUCCUUUAAAGUUAGCAUGAGUACAUGUAAUCAUUUAUCAUUUUCUUGUGUUCUUUUGUUUAUGGUACAAGAUGUAUUCGAUCAAAGGAGGCAGGGGGUUAGUAGUAUGGGUUAAGGAUAUAGUUAAUUAAAAGAUCCGUUAGUUAAUGAAUUGUAAAUGAUGAAUUGUAGCACCUGUGAACAUCUUUGUAAACAAGUAAGGUAUAUAAGACAUGGCAAUGAAUAGUGAUGUGUGCAUGAUCUGAGAUUUUAUAUCUCCUUGCACCUUAUUUGACUCAAAUAAAGAUACUUGCUUCUCCA